rnacentral:tRNA from 1 species
GCGCCCGUAGCUCAGUGGAUAGAGCGCUGGCCUCCGGAGCCAGAUGCGGGGGUUCGAGUCCCUCCGGGCGUACCA